CUUGUUCUACAGCUCCUUCAAAUUUCAGAUGAUUGAAAUCACGUAAACUGUAAACAUAAAAAUUUGAGUAACAGUAAUAGAUUUGCUAAAGAAAAUGAAGAAUUCUCUGAGAAGAUUGCGAAAUAUUGCACUUAACCGGCACGGUGAUGAAACCGAGGACCGAAAAGAUUCUCCACCUUUGCCUCAAUUCGAUGAACUCGAUCAAGCUUCUCAGGAGAUGCGGGAUAUGAGAGAUUGCUACGACAGCUUACUCUAUGCAGCUGCCGCAGCAACAAAUAGUGCUUUCGAAUUCUCAGUGUCAUUGAGGGAAAUGGGUGAUUGUCUUCUCGGAAAAACUUCACUUAACGAUGAUGAAGAAAGUGGUAAAGUACUAUUAAUGCUCGGAAAAGUACAGUUUGGACUCCAGAAACUUGUUGACAGCUAUCGAUCUCAUAUAAUCCAGACAAUCACAAGCCCAUCAGAGUCCCUUCUUAAUGAACUUCGAACAGUUGAGGAGAUGAAGCGGCAAUGUGAUGAGAAAAGAAAUGUGUAUGAGUACAUGGCAAUGAGACACGAAGAAACAGGAAGAUCAAUAUGUGGGAAAGGGGAGAAUUUCUCCGCACAACAUUUACGAGUAGCGCAUGAUGAAUAUCAAGAGGAAGCAACUUUACUUUUUUUCCGCUUGAAAUCUCUAAAGCAAGGACAAUCAAGAAGCCUUCUUACACAAGCAGCAAGACACCAUGCUGCUCAGCUGAACUUUUUUAAGAAGGCUCUUAACUCUCUUGAAGAAGUAGAGCCACAUGUGCAGAAGAUCACUGAAAAGCAGCAUAUUGAAUACCACUUCUGUGGACUUGAAGAUGAUGAAGGAGAAAAUGGUGAUCCUGAUGGAAAUUAUGAAAAUGAUGAUGACGAUGAGAGUAGUGACGACAACGAAGAGGAUGAUGCUGAUGACCACCAUGAUGGUGAAUUGAGCUUUGAUAAUAGACAAAAUGACCAACAUCAGAACGUAUUUUAUACGUCACAGAAUUCAAUGGAGUUAGAUCAAAUGGGCGUUACAUUUUCCCAGGUUGCAGUGGUGGAGGCUGCAAAGGAAAAUAAAGGAAGAAGCCGUCAUCAUUCUUGUACAUUUAGAGGAGAAAUAAGGAACAGCAGCCAAUCAGCUCCACUUUUUUUUGAGAACAAAUCUGACCCUUCUGAGAAAAUGCAACCGUUAUCGGCACGGAAGUUUGGCUCAUAUGUAUUACCGACACCAGUUGCCACAAGAGUUUCUACUGGAUUAAGUAAUCCAGCUCCUCAGUCUCCAAUGAAAAGUUUGAAUGAGCAAUCAAGCAAUUCAUGGCAUUUAUCUCCACUUGAACAUAAGAAAUAUGAGAGGGUUUGGGGAGAUGAGAAAAUUUCUGGAUCUGCUUCUGCUGUUAUAAAUGCACAGUCACUUCUCAAAGAAUGCAAUAGUCCUUCCUCUUCAACUCGACUACCCCCUCGAGCUAGUCCAACUGUAGCUUAUUCUAAGAAAAUCAAACGACAUGCCUUUUCUGGUCCUUUGACUAGUAAACCCUGGUCUACCACAUCUGUUGCAGUGGAGCAUCCCCAAUUCUUCUCUGGGCCAAUUUUGAGAAAUCCAAUGCCUCAAAGGCCAGUAUCAUCUCCAAGAGCAUCACAAAGUGCUUCCCCUACUUUUAUAUCCUCACCCAAAAUAAGUGAGCUUCAUGAACUUCCUAGACCCCCAGCCAGUCCGGCCUCAAAGUCUUCAAGACCUUUCGGCAUGGUGGGUUAUUCAGGUCCCUUGAUGCCUAGAGGUCACGGGCUCUCUGCUACAAAUCAAUCGGUGGUGUCAAGAGCUGCCUCUCCACUGCCACAACCUCCUCAGGUUACUCGCAGUUUUUCCAUACCCUCAAGCAGAGGGGUGUCAUUACCUGAGUCCAAGCCACUGGAAACAUCUAUCAGUUUAGGGAUGUCUCAAGAUGUUGUCUCACCUACUUUGACACCGAUAUCUUUUUCUUAAAACCGACCAUCAUCAACUACUUCGUAAACUGUUGAUAGGUAAACGAAACACAAUGCUCCCCCCUCCCCCAACCCCAACAUCCAGAGACUAAAAUUAUCAAAAUUCCAGAGCUGAUUGGUUAAUCUCAUUCCUGUACUCAUUCAUUCCUUACCUUAAGGUACGGUUGUCAUUGCCGUGUCAAGGAGGUGCAGAUGUGCAUAUUGUCCUGGUCAAUUACUUUUUCCUACAAUCAUUGUUAUAUAUUUUAGCCGCAUUCGCAUCUUGUCCAUCGCCAUGAAUGCUUGGCAUGGAUGCCUGCCGUGCGUUCCAAGUUUAGAGAAAUUUUG